GUUAGGCUGUGAGAUGACACCUCUGACACUCAUCUGCUUAACACUGUACACUUGGAUAGUGUCACCUGGCUCCCGGCUCAGCCUGGCAUUAAGUCAGCAUGAGCAUGAAACAGAGAUGUGGCACGCACUCUCAAAUAGCUUGUAUAAUAAAGUGACCAUUGAGGGGACGAAGAAGCUGGCGUUCACCUUUCAAAGCAAGGAGAAUGUCCAGGUGGACUCUGCAUUCCUGUCCUGCGUAACUUUGAGAUGCUUCACGUUGCUGGAGAACCCCUCACCUGAGGCCUGGAUCGGGCCUGAACAUCAACAGCACCACUUGUCAGCAAUAAUUUGUCCAUCCAAUCGGUCAAGAAAAACAACACCAAAAGGACCAAGUGCAAUCACUGUUGUUUUAUUUGCUAUGGAGUCAAGCGCAGUGAACAGACACCCCAAUGGGAUCAUCUAUAGGCUUGGGAAAGUACUUAUAUCAUCUUUUCUGCUGUUGCUUGCAAUCAUUGUAAUUCGAUUAAUAUUAAUCGUCUCAGAUUUCCGAUACAGCAACAACUCUUUUGUUGUGGGGCUUUUGACUCUCACGUUACACUGUUUACCUCCACCAGCCCUCCGACCCCCGGGAUGGUCCUUUGUGCUGCGUCACACAGCGUUCGGGAUCACCUUUGUCCUCUAUAUCACCUGUGGCCUGGGGAAACCAAUCCAUGUUUUGAUUGCCUUCAGGGCCACUUGGACGGUUUUCCAAUGGUUGUGUCACUCACAUCAGCAGCAAGCAUGUAUUUUGCCACUAUCUGCUGCACAGUUGAUGGUUUGUGUUGUGUGGUUCUUUGUCACCCAAAUGUCACCAAACAGGAAUGGAAGGCAGUUGUGUUGUGAAAACAUAAUACGUGAAAGGGAUGUCCAGUUUGCUCAUGUCAUUUACUGGGCCACAUCGUAUUUUUUAUGUUUUUCAUUUACCCUUUUACUGCGAUCAAUACAGGCUAAAUUGAAUGUAUUUAGCGCUCCUAUGCACAUGCGUUUGCUAGCCUGUCUACAAUAUGCCAGGGUAAUAACAAAGUAUAUCAUUGUUAUAAAACUCAACAUGCCCCUGUGAACCUUAUUUGUAUAUGGUAUUAUGAUGCUACGAUGAUAAAGAUCCUGAAACAUUACAUUAAAUAUAUUAAAAUGAAAAAAGAGUUGUAGGGAGACAACACUAAUCGUUUCUUAAAAUGUGCUAGGCUAAUGCUUAAUAGAUGGAUACAAUUCUUAAUUCAUAUUUUAGAUUAUUACGACAGAUGGAACCGGGGUUUAAGUUAAGGCUCAGUUGAUAACUUUGUUAUUUUUCAACGUGGACCCUAUUUUCCAAUAGUUAGAGAUUGGGCCAGUAUUGAGCGAGCAUGGUAACCCUUAAGAACAAUAGCACUCAAUUAAUCAAUAAAUAUUUUCAAGCCAGAGCCUAAGUCUAAAGAGCACAUAUAUUGUAAAAUCCAAAGCAAUGAUUCAAGUGCCCGGAUCAAAAAAACGUAUAAUGUGUAUCAUUUCAAAUAGCUCUACAGUUAACCAAAAAACAUCCAAACAUUGACAUGAUACAUAUUUUUGUCUUCUUAAAAAAUAUUGAUUAGAGAAACAGGAAGAUUUCUAGAUGUUACCUUGAAGAAUUAGUUAGUUGGUGUGUUUUUUUUUUAGAGAUCUAGAAGUCUUGAGUGAAAACUGACAAUAUGUCAGGCUAAUACGAUCAGAUUUGACCCAUUUCCACCCUUCAGUUCAGCCUUGCCCUGUCACUCUAUCCUGUCAACAUCAAGAUGUUACUUUAUAAGGCCCAUUACGAUUUUUGUAUUUUUGUGCUGUGUGGCAGUGUAUACUACAGAAAACAACAAAGCCAUAUGCAAAUAAGUUUAAUAUAAAGUCUAAUGUACAUUUUUGUAAUGGGCAAAAGUUUUGUUACUUACAGUCUCAGAAUGUGAUGUACCCUAUGUAAUAUGUUUUUUUCAAAGCAGAGACUCACUUCAUUCAAGAACAUUUAAAGAUGAGUUUCAGAUGAUGAAAAGAAUAUAACAAUAUAAGUGUAUAUAUUUGUUAUUAAAAUCAACGUGCC
rnacentral:lncRNA from 1 species